UCAUAAAAGUGUUGGGGGGGGGGAGAAAAACAAAUUAACCAUUGUGAAAUAAAGCCAAAAUAAUAUGAACAGGCCCUUGCAUUCCCUUUGUCAUUGGAAAAGUCCGAAUGAUCAUCAAGCACCAUGCUCCGCCCACAUCAGACUGCGUCGGCUCAUUUGAGCAAUUUCCCUAGAAGGAGUUAAAACUGUCAAAAUACAAGCCCUGGAGUACGCCCAAAAUGCCGUGUUCAAAGUCAUGUCCACACAAUUUCAUGUCGACCAGUGAAACUGGUGUCUGAUAUUUUUCUAACUUUUGGGGGCUUUUGCUACCGACUGAGUUUUAACAUAACAGUUCAAUUGAAUGUAAAGAAUGAAACAGUUUGUGUGUUUUGGUCAUUGAUGAUGUGAUGUAUCUCCUGAUUCAUUUGGAUGCGUUUUUCUGUCCAUUGCCAGACAAAAUGGUGUUUAUUGGUGAUUGGGGACCACUGUACUGUCGAUAAUUGCAUUUAGUGCUGCUUGCUGGGUUCUGAGAUUCAUUUAUCGAGCAAAAAAAAAUUCCAAGCCGUCAUUCUUGCCUCUAGAAAUGGUGUUUAACCAGUCGCCUAUUUUUUCACAACCCUUCACUGCAGCUGGAUGUUUUAGAAGCAGGGAAAUUUUUUUAAGGGCCCUUUGAGCCACGAGACGCGGCGUGGCGAAAGGGACGAAGACCUCAUGACUUCCCACUGCCAUGGAUCUCGGGGGGGGGGGGGGGGGGGGCGCUCGGCGUCAUUGUGGGACGCUUUUGUCUGAUAAGGAGUCACGCACCACGCCGGAUUGAAGUCAUGUGCUCCUCAUUGCGCGGCAACACAAGACAGCGGCAAUCUGUCUGUCUGGCUUCAUUUUUUAAAAUGUUCUAUGCACUGGUCCUUUUUCCCAGAAAUUGUCUUUCAUGUUGUCUGUCUCCUCGCAGUUCUAAUGUGCAUGUAAGCAGCUGCCAGUGUGCCGCUAUGAAGAUGCCCUAUGCAUGUCGAGUGGGUGUGUCGGCGCCGGGUCGAGGCUUUUUAGUGCACGGAGGGAGACUUUUAGCUGGCUCCUGGGGACACUUCCCUCCACACCCACACUACAUUCUGAUAUAUUCUCUGGACCCCAUCACCACUGCUGAGAUUUAAAUAGACACAGGCCCAAACGCAUGCUUUUCAGAUGCAUUUUUACAACCCAUUUGUGGUCAUUAUCUCUCAUGGCCAGAUGUCAAUGCCGAUCAAAUGUUCUAUUAAAUAAAUCAAGCAACUUCCAUUGUCCUGCGUUGACUCUAAGGCUGGAUGCUUCCAGGCAUAUCGGAUAUAGCCUGUACAUGUGAGAUCAUGGAAAUCGAGUGCACAAAAAAAACAAAACAAAAAACACACACCCAUGGUAAAUCAAAACGACAGCAAAUAUUCAGGGGAGCCAAGUAGCGCUUUGACAUCACCAAAAGCCUUAUUCAAAUAUGUUCUACCAUGCAGCACCUUGAAAAAUCCCAUUCCCUAUUUUUUGAAUGUAUUUUUUUGAUUCAUUAAAAUCAGCAUAAAUCUGAGAAUUUCAAAACUAAUGAAGUUGAAACGUAUGAAUAUCAUCUAAUGAAGGCAUGCCCACCAUGACGAGCUGCAUUUGUAAAUCAUCAUAUCCAAAUUUAGUCAGACAGUGAAAGGACUAAAUGCGAUGUAUUUGAAAAGUUGUUUUUUUUUUUUCCUCGACAUGUAGUACUCACCAAUGGACGAACGAGGCUCUUGUUAGAAAACUGCAGUUGUUUGUUUACAUUCAAACUCAGCUUAUAGCUAAGGUGAGUGACACAUCAUGUGGACCUUGCAACACCUCCAGUAUGGGGCGGUGUUGUAUGCUUUAAUUAGAAGAGUAUAUUGUUUUAAUUGAAUUGAAUUUUCAGUUACAUUUGUCGCUUCUAAUGUUGUUUUAAGGUUAGUGUCCUUUUUAAACCUGUCUAGACCAUAUUAAACCACAUGAGAUUUUUAGGGACAAUCAAGCGCUCAGUAGGCUCCCAAGAUUUUUUUUAAGGCCUGUACACAAGGAGAGCUCCAAAGUUUGAAAUGCAAAUUGAACAGUCAAUAUCUGACCAUAAACUAACACAGAUGCCAUUCCCAAAAUGCCCGUCAGCAUGAAGAAGUGCAGUCCCCUGACAGAGUCGAUGAAAGCAGAACAUGAUCAUAUUUGUAAAAGGUGACUUUUUGAUAACACUUCUUUAAUUGGCUCUCGUUUGAUUGUGCAGGUGUCUGCUUCGUGAACACAACAGACGUACAUCUGGCAACUGAGUGCAUACACUUUCCCAUUACAUUUUGUCAGAUCCCGGAAAGGAUCUUCACGGCUUUAAUUCAACAUUUUCCACCGUACGCAUCAAUCAGCAAAAAAUCUCCUUUCAUUUUAACCAGGUGGUAUAUUUGCCUUGCUUUAAGUAGACACUUGUGAACGUUUAACAUUUCACAUAAAGUAAUGGCGAGGCUAACAACUAUGCCUUUUUGGGGGGAAAUGUUGUCACUUCCUCGUGCACACAAUGAUGAUUUCCCUAUGGCCUGCAUUUCUUGUGUACAGUGCAGCCCAGUCUCCAUCAGAGUGUCAGACAGUCUCCAGCAGAAAACCGCAGGCGCUUUUGUACCGCCGAGAUGUUAGCCGAAGGGAAAACAGCCCUCGCGUCUCGUCAAACAUCGCUCUUUGAAAAAUUCAAUUACUAUGUUUGACUGUGACACCACAGGAUGUUCUAAUAGAGAGAGCAGGAUUCAGCAUAAGCAUCAAAACCACACUUUGGCGGAGACGAACAUGAUGACACAUUUAGAACCGUUUUGUCUGACUGGCUGAAUACAAAUUCAAAGUUGUCAUUGGACAGAUAAGCUUUUUGGGACAGCGGGUUAUUCCGCCUUGAGAAAGAAAAAUGGAAUUAGUUCCUUCCUUGUGGCUACUAGUCAAGUUCUUCAACACCAUACUCAUCUUAUCGUUUAUGGACACCGAGGCAAAGUAUUCCCACGUGUGUGACAGUUAAGCAUGUUCAAAUGUCAUGUCAAACUUUCAGACUGCUGCACUCAGCUGAGGUAGCAGCUGCCGGUCCCUGACCUUAAACUAGCUCAGAGGAAACAGUAUACGACAUGUCUGUAUGGAAAUGCCCGUAAUGGUGGCCCCCUCAUCCCGACCCUAUGCAUUUUUUU